UCGGGAACUGUGAGACAGGUGCUGCAUGGCUGUCGUCAGCUCGUGUUGUGAAAUGUUGGGUUAAGUCCCGCAACGAGCGCAACCCUUAUCCUUUGUUGCCAGCGAUUAGGUCGGGAACUCAAAGGAGACUGCCAGUGAUAAACUGGAGGAAGGUGGGGAUGACGUCAAGUCAUCAUGGCCCUUACGACCAGGGCUACACACGUGCUACAAUGGCGCAUACAAAGAGAAGCGACCUCGCGAGAGCAAGCGGACCUCAUAAAGUGCGUCGUAGUCCGGAUUGGAGUCUGCAACUCGACUCCAUGAAGUCGGAAUCGCUAGUAAUCGUGGAUCAGAAUGCCACGGUGAAUACGUUCCCGGGCCUUGUACACACCGCCCGUCACACCAUGGGAGUGGGUUGCAAAAGAAGUAGGUAGCUUAACCUUCGGGAGGGCGCUUACCACUUUGUGAUUCAUGACUGGGGUGAAGUCGUAACAAGGUAACCGUAGGGGAACCUGCGGUUGGAUCACCUCCUUA
rnacentral:rRNA from 1 species